UCAGAUUUACAGUUGCAUUUCUUUCAGUAUGGUUUGAUAUUAUUCUGAUAUUAACUCCACUAUAAACAAUAUGCACCCAAGUAUGUCCUGCCGAGAUGCUUUUAUUGAUCAGGGAAAUAAAAUACAUUCCAGGCUGUGGUCUGGCACAUGUCCUUGAUUACAAUACCUGGGGAAAAACUAGUCUGUUAUAUGGUAUUGAUGAGAAAAUGCAAAUGAUGCAUAAAAGUCCUGAUCUAUAAUUAUCCAUCUUUAGAGUGUCUAGGUCAUCAUUUAGGCUGAGGUACCAGGGAUUAGUGUUGUCAUGUGCGAUCGCACAAUCGCAUACAUUUCCUCAUGUCGCAUAUCCCAUGGUUGCAUAUGCCAUGUAGGAAGCAUGCCUCAUGGCAUGCUAGAGUAUGCGAUGUUUAUGGCAUAAUGGCAUAACCUUGGCAUACUCUAGUAUGCGAUGGCAUAAUGGCCAAUGGUAAAUUUCUCUUAGAUUGUAAUAAGUUAUAACUUGUAACCUGUAUUGUAUGCAUCAACUCAUCAAGAUUCAAGUUAUUAAUGCAAUUUCUAUGUUUGUAGUUUUCAAUAAUUAAUUUUUUCAUA